AACGCUAGCGACAGGCUUAACACAUGCAAGUCGAGGGGUAACAGGGUAGCAAUACCGCUGACGACCGGCGCACGGGUGAGUAACGCGUAUGCAACCUGCCUAUAACUGGGGAAUAGCUCCCUGAAAGGGGAAUUAACACCGCAUAACACUAUUGAUUCGCAUGGAUUGGUAGUUAAAUGUAGCGAUACAGGUUAUAGAUGGGCAUGCGUGACAUUAGCUAGUUGGUGAGGUAACGGCUCACCAAGGCUACGAUGUCUAGGGGUUCUGAGAGGAAGGUCCCCCACACUGGUACUGAGACACGGACCAGACUCCUACGGGAGGCAGCAGUGAGGAAUAUUGGUCAAUGGGCGCAAGCCUGAACCAGCCAUGUCGCGUGCAGGAAGACUGCCCUAUGGGUUGUAAACUGCUUUUAUAGUAGAAGAAACACAUCUACGCGUAGAUGUCUGCCAGUAUACUAUGAAUAAGCAUCGGCUAACUCCGUG
rnacentral:rRNA from 1 species